rnacentral:rRNA from 1 species
GACGAACGCUGGCGGCGUGCUUAACACAUGCAAGUCGAACGGAAAGGCCCUGCUUUUGUGGGGUGCUCGAGUGGCGAACGGGUGAGUAACACGUGAGUAACCUGCCCUUGACUUUGGGAUAACUUCAGGAAACUGGGGCUAAUACCGGAUAGGAGCUCCUGCGGCAUGGUGGGGGUUGGAAAGUUUCGGCGGUUGGGGAUGGACUCGCGGCUUAUCAGCAUGUUGGUGGGGUAGUGGCUUACCAAGGCUUUGACGGGUAGCCGGCCUGAGAGGGUGACCGGCCACAUUGGGACUGAGAUACGGCCCAGACUCCUACGGGAGGCAGCAGUGGGGAAUAUUGCACAAUGGGCGGAAGCCUGAUGCAGCAACGCCGCGUGCGGGAUGACGGCCUUCGGGUUGUAAACCGCUUUCGCCUGUGACGAAGCGUGAGUGACGGUAAUGGGUAAAGAAGCACCGGCUAACUACGUG